AACGAACGCUGGCGGCAUGCCUAACACAUGCAAGUCGAACGAGACCUUCGGGUCUAGUGGCGCACGGGUGCGUAACGCGUGGGAACCUGCCCUUAGGUUCGGAAUAACUCCCCGAAAGGGGUGCUAAUACCGGAUAAUGUCUUCGGACCAAAGAUUUAUCGCCUUUGGAUGGGCCCGCGUUGGAUUAGCUAGUUGGGAGGGUAAAAGCCUACCAAGGCGACGAUCCAUAGCUGGUCUGAGAGGAUGGUCAGCCACACUGGGACUGGGACACGGCCCAGACUCCUGCGGGAGGCAGCAGUGGGUAAUAUUGGAAAAUGGGCCAAGGGCUGAUCCCGCAAUGCCCCGUGAGUGGUGAAGUCCUUAGGGUUGUAAAGCUCUUUUACCCGGGAUGAUAAUGACAGUACCGGGAGAAUAAGCACCGGCUAACUCCGUG
rnacentral:rRNA from 1 species